ACAGCAUCCCUGAGGUUACACCUAGGAGUGUUCGCUGAAAAAAAAAAAAACAUCAGGCAUACAUUAGGGAACACAGGAAAGGACUGUACACCUGUUUCGAAUUCGACCAUGUAUUUUGUACGUAUCCUAUUCGUUAUCUUUUGCAAAAUAGUUGUCUGAAUCCUGUUUCUCUGGGGUACUCAAACUGAGGAUUAUUCGUCCCUCUACUCCGUACACGAUCCAAGUUUCCUUCCUUUUUUUUUCUUUUGGAAUUUUAAGAAUCAGUAAGAUGUUUCUUCGAAAAAACCAGCUCCAAAAAACAUUUUGACGUUUGAAUGACCCGUAAUCUCAAUCAUGUGACUAGGAUAGAUGAAUCCAUCUUGAUCAUCUGUAUGGUACAUCGGGUCUAUUGAUUGCAUGACAUGAUAAAGCGAGG
rnacentral:sRNA from 2 species